rnacentral:misc_RNA from 1 species
UCCGGUUUGUCACCGGCAGUCUCAUUAGAGUGCCCAACUAAAUGUAGCAACUAAUGACAAGGGUUGCGCUCGUUGCGGGACUUAACCCAACAUCUCACGACACGAGCUGACGACAGCCAUGCAGCACCUGUGUUCAGGUUCCCUUUCGGGCACAUCCACCUCUCAGCGGACUUCCUGACAUGUCAAGGGUAGGUAAGGUGGGGAUGACGUUAGGAUAG